rnacentral:misc_RNA from 1 species
CAAAGACGAGGCGCUGCAGCUGGAAGCGAAAGGACGGUCGACGAGCGCACCGCCAUCGCUGGUGCACGCACACGUGAAGGAGUUCGUGUCUGCGGUGUCCCAACCGCUCCCCCUUCCCUUCUCGGCCCAUACAGAUACGCAUCUUUCGGCAAACCCGGAUCAGAAGCUGUGAGGUCAAAUGAGUUCUUCGGAUCUCAUCCAGGAGGACGACUACGUCUUCAUCAGCGGCGGAGGGUCGAACAAGAUUGUGCAGGUCAAAAAGGAUGUAACGGUGCGCCUCGGGCGAUCUGGUGCAGCACUCGCCACGACGCUGAUUGGCAUGCGCUACGGUGGCGUAUGCCACCUCGACCACGCUCGAAAGAAGUUCAUGGAGAGCGAUGAGUAUCCGGAUCUGGACAUCACCGAGGUCGGGGAUGGCGAGGAGGUGAAAGACAAUCGCGACUUAGUGGAUGACAACACGAAUCAGCAGCUCUCCAACGACGAGGUAGCGGCGAUUCGUCGCGAGAAAGGCCUCGACCAGCUCCUCCAAACACUAGUGGAAAAGAGUGCCAGCUACCGCACCAAAACUAACUUUGCGCAGGAGAAGUACCUCAAAAAGAAGCAAAAGAAGUACGGCACCCUCUUCAAGGUCGAGCGCGUAACCGUCGACAAUCUGGCGGAGCUCCACGUCCCCACCAUCAACCCUUCGGACAACACGUCUGAAGAGGCGCGGUGCCUUCGACUGCGCGCCGACACGGUGGCUCUGAUUCUGCAUCAUAGCGACGUGCAUCACAACAGCCGUGUUAUUCUGUACGAGAAGACGAACGGUGUGCUGCCGGCAAGCCUACUCACGCGCAUGUCGGACGAGGGCCGCAUCUUCCAGAUCCUAGACAAGAACGCGCAGCCGAACCCGAUGACUGCCAUCAAGGUGCUUAAGCUCCCCCUCGUCAAGGAACGGUGGAAGGCGGUGCCCCGCAACCCUGGAUUUCUUGAAGGUUUGGAAGAACCGGACAAGGAGUCGGCGAGGGGCACCGCUGAGGCGGCUGAGAAGAACGCCGCCGGCGCUGCCGCAGGGAAGGGGCUGAGGCGUCAAGACACCUGUGCUAGUUCGACGCAGUGGGUGAAGGGGCUCGAGGCGCGGCAGCUCCUGCUCGAGAGUCCGGCGGACUCCCUUGUCAUCUGCGACGACGAAUCGCCGCAACGCGCCGUGGCGGACCUGCUCCCCUUCCUGGCGUUUGGUGGCCACAUUGUCGUCUACAGCCCGUUCCCUGAAGACCUCACCGGCAUCUUUCUCGCGCUGCGCGACAACUGUGUGAACCUUCAAAUAUCCGAAACGUGGUACCGCCAUCACCAAGUGCUGCCGAAGCGCACCCACCCCACCGUGAACAUGAGCACAGCGGCCGGGUAUCUUCUGACGGCGAUCAAGGUGUGCCGGAGCCCAGCGGUACCGCGGUGGGCUGCGGCGGUAACGGCACCUGCUCUAUCAGCCACGACGCACGCAGGUCACAAAAGGUCAGCUGCCGAGGAGCUCAACGGCAUGGCUUCGAAGAAGUCUGCGAACGUGGAAACCUCGGACGAGGGAAACGCCAACUGAAUCGAGUCGCCACCCAUGCUCUUCUGCUGCCCGUCGCACGCCCCCAUGCACCUUCCCGGCUCUGUAUGCCUCUGCCGGUCAGUGUGCGUUGGCGUUCGUGUGUGCGCCUGUGUCUGUUUAGCAAUCUAGUAAGUCGAUUAAGCAAGAAAAGAAUAUG